AACGCACAUUGCGCCCUUUGGCAUUCCGAAGGGCAUACCUGUUCGAGCGUCAUUUCAACCCUCAAGCCUGGCUUGGUGUUGGGCGUUUUGUCCCGCCGUGUGCGCGGACUCGCCUUAAAAGAAUCGGCGUCUGCAUGUAGGCCUAAUGCGUAGUAAAAUUCGCAGACUAGGCUGGCGUGCUGGCGGCCGGAACGCAUACAUUUUUUUUGUUUGACCUCGGAUCAGGUAGGGAUACCCGCUGAACUUAA
rnacentral:misc_RNA from 1 species